rnacentral:rRNA from 1 species
CACGCCGUAAACGAUGAGUGCUAAGUGUUAGAGGGUUUCCGCCCUUUAGUGCUGCAGCAAACGCAUUAAGCACUCCGCCUGGGGAGUACGGCCGCAAGGCUGAAACUCAAAGGAAUUGACGGGGGCCCGCACAAGCGGUGGAGCAUGUGGUUUAAUUCGAAGCAACGCGAAGAACCUUACCAGGUCUUGACAUCCUUUGCCACUCCUAGAGAUAGGAUUUUCCCCUUCGGGGGACAAAGUGACAGGUGGUGCAUGGUUGUCGUCAGCUCGUGUCGUGAGAUGUUGGGUUAAGUCCCGCAACGAGCGCAACCCUUGUUCUUAGUUGCCAGCAUUUAGUUGGGCACUCUAAGGAGACUGCCGGUGACAAACCGGAGGAAGGUGGGGAUGACGUCAAAUCAUCAUGCCCCUUAUGACCUGGGCUACACACGUGCUACAAUGGAUGGUACAAAGGGUCGCGAAACCGCGAGGUCGAGCCAAUCCCAUAAAACCAUUCUCAGUUCGGAUUGUAGGCUGCAAC